GCGCUUGUAGUUCAGUGGAUAGAACAUCCGCCUUCUAAGCGGAGGGUCGCAGGUUCGAAUCCUGCCAGGCGCACCA
rnacentral:tRNA from 1 species